UGGGUAGUAUCGAUUGCGAACUGCACUUUAUUGUUUAACAUAAAAAAAUCAUUAAAUAAUCUGCUCAUAUCAUUAUGAAUGAGACGGCGCU
rfam:Clostridium estertheticum subsp. estertheticum strain DSM 8809, complete genome.